GAGGCGGCUCAGUGAGCUCCUGGGGACUCUGAGUGAGGAUGUCCUGCUGAAGAUGGUGGAAGUCUGAGUUUGCAGUAGCUGCCGUGGGGGCAGGAGCCCAAGGUGAUCUGGGGAUACAUGCCCACCGGAUGGGUGCUGCUUAGAGCUUGCUAAAAUUAUGGAAAGAGCAAGCGGACAGACUUUCCCUGCACAGCUGCUCCAGCUGAAGUGCACACACAGGACACUGGACCUGGCCUACAGGCAGCUUCUGACUCAGGAGGAAGAGAGGUGCCUCCAUCUGCCUUCCCGUCCGCGGGCCGUGUGUGCCUCCGUCCUGCCCAAGCCGAGCAGCAGUCUUCCUGUUCCAGGCAGCGUACUUGCCCAGGACUCACUCAUGCUGUCCUGUUGGAUGGGAGGGGACGUGAGACCUGCUGCUUGGUCACUGAGCCCACAGGCUAAGAGGAAACAGAUGCCUGCCCCAGCAACCUCUUGGCAUCUGGCUCCCUGUCCCUGCUCCGGGGCACCGGGACCCACUGCUGUGCCCGGAAGACCUGAAUAUGUCCCAGGACAGGAAGGCCACCAUGUGUCCUAUGCCUCCCAGCUCCUUCCCCUGGGACCCUCCCAAGGCAGAGAGCAGAGAAGGGACUCCCACUGUGACGGGGCAUCUUUGGGACUGCAUGACUGCUUUAGAAACAUCUGGAGUGAUGGACGUUUCAGGCCAUGCGUCUGCACAGAACACCAGCCACUAGACUCGGGCCUGCCCUACUUCAGUUCAUUUUAACCUGAUUUCACCCAUGAAGGUGUUGGUAUUUCCAGGGGCACGGGGAAGACGCUGACCAGGAGCUGUCCUCUACUCCCCCUCUGGCCUCCUGCACAUCGGAGCUGAGAAGACCCACCUCACCCUGCUGGGAACCUCGUGACGCCCACCGCCUGUGAAGCCCAUUCCACGCACCCAGACUUGGGCUCUGCACCGGGAACCUGCUGUCCUCUGCACUAUGAACACUCACCCACUGUCUCUGACUGAAAUCCUUUCUCACCUGGGGAUGCCCCGUCCACGGGCCAUGUUCCAAGAGCCUUCCUGAUUCUGGCUGCCAGGUCUUAAGGAAGGAGGCCUGUCACCUCUGCACCCACCCAUCUGAACAUGGAGGUCAUGGCUAUGUUCCUUCCCCACCCUGUCAGUGCCACGGUCUUCACCGCAUGCUCCUACAUGCUGAGCAGCAGAGCUGCAUGUCUUCACCUUUAAUGAGGAAACACGUGUUCUGCAGAUGAAGGAACGGGGAGGCCACAGCACGGUGGAGCGGGGAGGCCGCCCUCCACAUUCCAACCCCAGGAAAAAGUAACCUGGAGGCAGAAAAAGCCAAAUUGAAGAAUGGACAGUUAUCCACCGAACAUUCUCGAAGGGGAACUGGGUUAUACUGUUUUGAAUUUGAGGUCAAUCUAUUGAAAUUGUUUUUUAAUUCAAAUGAUGGCUUUGUCACCAAUAGCUUAAAAGGCAAACAACGAGCUUGAACACCACACACACACUCCUGAAGUCUAGUCUGUUCUCUGAAAUUGAUGUUUGCCAAUAAACAGGCGCCAUCAGGAAAAAUAGAGGUUUUCCAGAUUGAAAGCUCCCUCCCUCUCCCACAGCCCACUUGCAUACCCCCCUGAAGACAGAGGCCGGGAAGUGAGGCUGGCUCUCUGUGGUGCCAGCCACUCUCUGCAGCACUGGAGCCCUGUGGGGUAAUGACAGGAGGCCUGAGAGAUGCACCCUGCCACAGACACGGGGAUAAGGGCUGUGUCCACAGAAAUUCACUCUCAUGUUCUCUAACUAAGACGCGGGGGGUGUCCAUGGCUGGGCUAACAACUCCACACAAAUGCGAAGGAACCUGACAGGCAGGUGCCCUCAGGAAGCACAUGCAGGGGGCUCUGGCAAAGCAGCCCUUCCUCCACUCACCACCCACCCCAGCUGGGGGGAGAAGAACCUCCCCAUCCAAGGCCCACCCUGACCUGGGAAGAGCAGCCCAACCCCUGUCCACCAUUAACCCUGACCUGGGAGAAUCAGCCCCUCUGCCAUCCACCUUCACUCUGACUUCCAUGUCCAUCAUUAACCCUGGCCUGGGAGAAACAGCACUUCCCCCACUUACCAUCUACCCUAGCCUAGGAGAAGCAGCAGCUCCCCGUACACCAUCCACCCUUACAGCCUUACCUGGGAGAAGUGGAGCCCACCCAUUCACCAUCCACCCUUACCUGGGACAAGUGGAGCCCACCCAUCAACCAUCCACCCUUACCUAGGAGAAGUGGCCCCUCCCCAUCCACCAUCCACCCUUACCUGGGAGAAGUGGCUCCUCCCCCCUCCACCAUCCACCCUUACCUGAGAGAAGUGAACCCCCCCAUCCACCAUCCACCCUUACCUGGGAG
ensembl:lncRNA